rfam:Clostridium sp. CAG:307 genomic scaffold, scf57
UUUGCUUUACCCAAGCAGGGGCGGUGAAUCAGGUCAGGAUCGGAAGGUAGCAGCCUUAAGCUUAGCUUUUGUUGUGGGUAAGGCACUUUU